rnacentral:lncRNA from 1 species
GUACUGAUCUGUUUUAGAAACUAAAAUUAUUAAGUAUUUCCUACCAAUUUUCCUAAAUAAAAUAAACGACAGUUUAAAUAAAUUGAGUAAAUUUCGCGGCUAAAGUGAUCACGUGUGCAGCUCACAAAGACAAUCUGCUUUCCUCAGCAACGACGUCGACUAGCCAUACUCCUCGCAACUCCUGUUUCGCGGCUUAAUUGAAGCCACCUGAAGGAUGGCUUUCCUCAGCAACGGCAAGGCCCGCACUCCUCGCAUAUCCUGUUUCGCGGCUCAAGCAAGAGGCACCUGUCACUGAAGGACUGCUUUCCUCAGCAACGACGUGAACAGCAUUACUCGAAUAUCCUGUAAGUAGUCAUUUUAUAACUAUGUAUAUUUGCAAUACUUUAUUCAAAAGUUGAUUAAACGUUGACCGUGGGUACGUGUACACAACAGUGUAGUUUUCUAAGUAAG